UGACUCAGUGGUAGAGUGCUUGCCUCACAUGCAUGAGGCCCUGGGUUCGAUUCCUCAG
rfam:Dipodomys ordii contig_1632, whole genome shotgun sequence.